rnacentral:rRNA from 1 species
UGGGGAAUAUUGCACAAUGGGCGCAAGCCUGAUGCAGCCAUGCCGCGUGUAUGAAGAAGGCCUUCGGGUUGUAAAGUACUUUCAGUCGGGAGGAAGGUGUCAAGGUUAAUAACCUUGGCAAUUGACGUUACCGACAGAAGAAGCACCGGCUAACUCCGUGCCAGCAGCCGCGGUAAUACGGAGGGUGCAAGCGGUAAUCGGAAUUACUGGGCGUAAAGCGCACGCAGGCGGUUGAUUGAGUCAGAUGUGAAAUCCCCGGGCUUAACCCGGGAAUUGCAUCUGAUACUGGUCAGCUAGGGUCUGGUAGAGGGGGGUAGAAUUCCAUGUGUAGCGGUGAAAUGCGUAGGGAUGUGGAGGAAUAACGGUGGCGGAGGCGGCCCCCUGGACAAAGACUGACGCUCAGGUGCGAAAGCGUGGGGAGCAAACAGG